rnacentral:rRNA from 1 species
AGCGAACGCUGGCGGCAGGCUUAACACAUGCAAGUCGAACGGGCAUCUUCGGAUGUCAGUGGCAGACGGGUGAGUAACACGUGGGAACGUACCCUUCGGUUCGGAAUAACUCAGGGAAACUUGAGCUAAUACCGGAUACGCCCUUUUGGGGAAAGGUUUACUGCCGAAGGAUCGGCCCGCGCCUGAUUAGCUGGUUGGUGGGGUAACGGCCUACCAAGGCGACGAUCAGUAGCUGGUCUGAGAGGAUGAUCAGCCACACUGGGACUGAGACACGGCCCAGACUCCUACGGGAGGCAGCAGUGGGGAAUAUUGGACAAUGGGCGCAAGCCUGAUCCAGCCAGGCCGCGUGAGUGAUGAAGGCCUUAGGGUUGUAAAGCUCUUUUGUCCGGGACGAUAAUGACGGUACCGGAAGAAUAAGCCCCGGCUAACUUCGUG